CCUACGGGAGGCAGCAGUGAGGAAUAUUGGUCAAUGGACGAGAGUCUGAACCAGCCAAGUAGCGUGAAGGAUGACUGCCCUAUGGGUUGUAAACUUCUUUUAUAUGGGAAUAAAAUGUUCCACGUGUGGGAUUUUGUAUGUACCAUAUGACUAAGGAUCGGCUAACUCCGUGCCAGCAGCCGCGGUAAUACGGAGGAUCCGAGCGUUAUCCGGAUUUAUUGGGUUUAAAGGGAGCGUAGGUGGAUUGUUAAGUCAGUUGUGAAAGUUUGCGGCUCAACCGUAAAAUUGCAGUUGAAACUGGCAGUCGUGAGUACAGUAGAGGUGGGCGGAAUUCGUGGUGUAGCGGUGAAAUGCUUAGAUAUCACGAAGAACUCCGAUUGCGAAGGCAGCUCACUGGACUGCAACUGACACUGAGGCUCGAAAGUGUGGGUAUCAAACAGGAUUAGAUACCCCAGUAGUC
rnacentral:rRNA from 1 species